rnacentral:rRNA from 1 species
ACAUUGACGCUGGCGGCAGGCCUAAGACAUGCAAGUCGAGCGAGAAAGCCCUUCGGGGUGAGUACAGCGGCGGACGGGUGAGUAACGCGUAGGAAUCUACCCAGUAGUGGGGGACAACUAGUGGAAACGCUAGCUAAUACCGCAUACGCCCUACGGGGGAAAGCGGGGGACCUUCGGGCCUCGUGCUAUUGGAUGAGCCUGCGUAAGAUUAGCUUGUUGGUGAGGUAAUGGCUCACCAAGGCGACGAUCUUUAGCUGGUCUGAGAGGAUGAUCAGCCACACCGGGACUGAGACACGGCCCGGACUCCUACGGGAGGCAGCAGUCGGGAAUAUUGCGCAAUGGGCGAAAGCCUGACGCAGCCAUGCCGCGUGUGUGAAGAAGGCCCUAGGGUUGUAAAGCACUUUCAAUUGGGAGGAAAAGCUAAUGGUUAAUAACCAUUAGCCCUGACGUUACCUUUAGAAGAAGCACCGGCUAACUCCGUGCCAGCAGCCGCGGUAAUACGGAGGGUGCGAGCGUUAAUCGGAAUUACUGGGCGUAAAGCGCGCGUAGGUGGUUUUUUAAGUCGGAUGUGAAAGCCCCGGGCUCAACCUGGGAACUGCAUCCGAUACUGGAUGACUAGAAUGCGGGAGAGGGAGGUAGAAUUCCAUGUGUAGCAGUGAAAUGCGUAGAUAUAUGGAGGAAUACCAGUGGCGAAGGCGGCCUCCUGGUUCGACAUUGACGCUGAGGUGCGAAAGCGUGGGGAGCAAACGGGAUUAGAUACCCCGGUAGUCCACGCCGUAAACGAUGUCUACUAGCUGUAGGGGUACUUGAGACCUUUGUAGCGCAGCUAACGCAAUAAGUAGACCGCCUGGGGAGUACGCCGCAGGUUUAAAACUCAAAU